rnacentral:tRNA from 1 species
UCAUCGGUAGUAUAGUGGUGAGUAUCCCCGCCUGUCACGCGGGUGACCUGGGUUCAAUUCCCCGCCGGGGAG